rnacentral:rRNA from 1 species
CCUACGGGAGGCAGCAGUGGGGAAUCUUGCGCAAUGGGCGAAAGCCUGACGCAGCGACGCCGCGUGGGGGAAGAAGGCCUUAGGGUUGUAAACCUCUUUCAGGUGGGACGAAGCCACUCGGGUUAAUAGCCCAGAGGGUGACGGUACCGCCAGAAGAAGCCCCGGCUAACUACGUGCCAGCAGCCGCGGUAAUACGUAGGGGGCAAGCGUUGUCCGGAUUUAUUGGGCGUAAAGAGCGUGUAGGCGGCUAGGUAGGUGGGUUGUGAAAACUGGAGGCUCAACCUUCAGACGUCGACCCAAACCCCCUGGCUAGAGUCCGGAAGAGGAGAGUGGAAUUCCUGGUGUAGCGGUGAAAUGCGCAGAUAUCAGGAAGAACACCCGUGGCGAAGGCGGCUCUCUGGGACGGUACUGACGCUGAGACGCGAAAGCGUGGGGAGCGAACAGGAUUAGAUACCCUGGUAGUCCACGCCGUAAACGAUGGGUGCUAGGUGUGGGGGGUGUCGACUCCCCCGUGCCGAAGCUAACGCAUUAAGCNCCCGCCGUCGGAGGUACGGCCGCGACGACGUAAACUUAAAGUAGUAGUAGACGCGNGAGACGCGACGACGACGACGACGAGGGAGGAG